GAAACAGGAAGGCUAAUCUUCCUUUUUUUUGUUUUAUAGAAAGAAAGGCUAAACUUGUCAGGUGUCAACCAAUCAACAUUGCGUGGCCAACUUUAUCCUCAACAGCAGUCAGCCGCCAUAGCACCCAGUUUCACAACCCCACCCAUGCCUCCACCCACGGAAAAUGGAUUUCAUGGUUUCCAAAGCUCAGCGAUAUGUGAAUAGCCCAGAAGGAAACGAUACUCAAACAAUGAUUAAUGGUAAUGGAGUAGUGAGCAGCCAGCUUCAGAUCGCUGGAUCUUCCCCUGAAGGCCUGGACAAGCAAGUUGUUCUUAGGCGUAUUCGUUAUCACAAAUGCAAAAGCAAAGUCCAAAGUGUUUUACAGGCUUUGGUUGGCAGCUCCGGACAAGCUCAAGAAAAGUGGAUGGAAAUGGGUGAUGCUUUCACCUGCCCCUGAACUCAAACCUAAUCACGAUGCUUCACAAUGAAGAAGAGUGCUUCAGGUUCUCUCGUUGGAGAGGCUUAUCGUCUAUGGUCCAAUGGGAACUGGAUAGUGUAUAUUAUUGUCAUUUUGACUCCAAGAGAAGCACUGUGUAUCAUUAUUGCAGUUUUGACCUUAUCUUAUACCUUCUCAUAUAUGGGAAUAAAAAAAUGACUAUGCUUCGAGUAUAUUCAUGUUUGCCAUAUACUCUUAAUGUAAUACAUAUUUUAAAUCCGUUAUUGAUACAGAUGAUACGCAUCCCAAGAUAUACGUAUAUAUAAGUAGCAAUGAAUGCUGUUGGGUGGUACAAUGGAAUGGAUAGCUUUAUUUAUCUGGUGACGAAGAAAAGACAAAUUCCUAAUAAAUUCAAUGUUCUUUUAA